UCUCCUGGAAAACGGGUGGUAAUGCCGGAUGCUCCGACAUGACGCAUGUCGUGUCGGGAAAGAUUCUAUCGGUAUGGGAUGGGGUCGCGUCCUAUCAGCUUGAUGGCGGGGUAACGGCCCACCAUGGCUUCGACGGGUAGCCGGCCUGAGAGGGCGACCGGCCACAUUGGGACUGAGAUACGGCCCAGACUCCUACGGGAGGCAGCAGUGGGGAAUAUUGCACAAUGGGCGCAAGCCUGAUGCAGCGACGCCGCGUGCGGGAUGACGGCCUUCGGGUUGUAAACCGCUUUUGACUGGGAGCAAGCCCUUCGGGGUGAGUGUACCUUUCGAAUAAGCACCGGCUAACUACGUGCCAGCAGCCGCGGUAAUACGUAGGGUGCAAGCGUUAUCCGGAAUUAUUGGGCGUAAAGGGCUCGUAGGCGGUUCGUCGCGUCCGGUGUGAAAGUCCAUCGCUUAACGGUGGAUCCGCGCCGGGUACGGGCGGGCUUGAGUGCGGUAGGGGAGACUGGAAUUCCCGGUGUAACGGUGGAAUGUGUAGAUAUCGGAAAAGAACAGCA
rnacentral:rRNA from 1 species